rnacentral:rRNA from 1 species
CCUACGGGAGGCAGCAGUGAGGAAUAUUGGUCAAUGGCCGGAAGGCUGAACCAGCCAAGCCGCGUGAGGGACGAAGGUACCAAGCAUCGUAAACUUCUUUUGUCAAGGGACAAAAUCAGGCUCGAGAGCCUGGACGAGGGUACCUGAAGAAAAAGCAUCGGCUAACUCCGUGCCAGCAGCCGCGGUAAUACGGAGGAUUCGAGCGUUAUCCGGAUUUAUUGGGUUUAAAGGGAGCGUAGGCGGGUUGUUAAGUCAGUUGUGAAAGUUUGGGGCUCAACCGUAAGACUGCAGUUGAUACUGGCAGCCUUGAGUAGAGUAGAAGUAGGCGGAAUUCGUGGUGUAGCGGUGAAAUGCUUAGAUAUCGCGAAGAACUCCGAUUGCGAAGGCAGCCUGCUGGAUCGUCACUGACGCUGAUGCACGAAAGUGUGGGUAUCGAACAGGAUUAGAUACCCGUGUAGUC